CCUACGGGAGGCAGCAGUGGGGAAUAUUGCACAAUGGGGGAAACCCUGGUGCAGCGACGCCGCGUGAGUGAAGAAGUAUCUCGGUAUGUAAAGCUCUAUCAGCAGGGAAGAAAAUGACGGUACCUGAUUAAGAAGCCCCGGCUAACUACGUGCCAGCAGCCGCGGUAAUACGUAGGGGGCAAGCGUUAUCCGGAUUUACUGGGUGUAAAGGGAGCGUAGACGGCAAGGCAAGCCAGAAGUGAAAGGGCAGGGCUCAACCCUGUACAUGCUUUUGGAACUGUGGUGCUAGAGUGCAGGAGAGGUAAGUGGAAUUCCUAGUGUAGCGGUGAAAUGCGUAGAUAUUAGGAGGAACACCAGUGGCGAAGGCGGCUUACUGGACUGUAACUGACGUUGAGGCUCGAAAGCGUGGGGAGCAAACAGGAUUAGAUACCCUAGUAGUC
rnacentral:rRNA from 1 species